rnacentral:rRNA from 1 species
AUUGAACGCUGGCGGCAGGCCUAACACAUGCAAGUCGAACGAGUGGCGGACGGGUGAGUAAUGUAUGGGAAACUGCCUGAUGGAGGGGGAUAACUACUGGAACCGGUAGCUAAUACUGCUUACCAUCGGAUGAGCCCAGAUGGGAUUAGCUAGUAGGUGGGGUAACGGCUCACCUAGGCGACGAUCCCUAGCUGGUCUGAGAGGAUGACCAGCCACACUGGGACUGGGACACGGUCCAGAAUCCUACGGUAGGCAGCAGUGGGGAAUAUUGCACAAUGGGCGCAAGCCUGAUGCAGCCAUGCCGCGUGUAUGAAGAAGGCCUUCGGGUUGUAAAGUUCUUUCAUCGAGGAGGCGUUACUCGCAGAAGAAGCCCCGGCUAACUCCGUGCCAGCAGCCGCGGUAAUAC